rnacentral:lncRNA from 1 species
AGAUUGGCAUUGUUGAAGAAAAGCGGGGAGGAAGAUUGGAGAAACAGACUCAGCAGGAGGCAGGAGGGCAGCAAGGCACCAGCCAGCAGCCUGCAGGGCAGUCCCUCGUCAGGAAGGAAGAAGGAGGAGUUGCGGAUGAUAGUGCCAUUUCUAAUCUGCUUUGGCGGGUCACAGAAAGUCGAGAGAGCCAAAUGAUGAUUGAGGAGAGGAAGCAGCUCAUCACUGUGAGAGAGGAGGCCUGGAAGACGAGAGGCAGAGGAGCGGCCAACGACUCGACCCAGUUCACUGUGGCUGGCAGGAUGGUGAAGAAAGGUUUGGCGUCACCUACUGCCAUAACCCCAGUAGCCUCAGCCAUUUGCGGUAAAACAAGAGGCACCACACCCGUUUCCAAACCCCUGGAAGAUAUCGAAGCCAGACCAGAUACGCAGUUAGAAUGGGACCUGAAGCUGGACAGGCUGGAAACCUUUCUAAGAA